AUUGUCUUCAAGCUCUUCCAUGCAAUAAAUAAGAGCUCCAUUGGGACCAAGACCAAGUUCCUCCAUAACAUCAUCCAAGGAAAUGAGUUCCCUGAUAUCCAUAGCCACAGGAUAAUCAAAAUGUUCUGCAGCAGGAUCUAGGUUCACAAUGUGUAUUGACCGCCUGACUGUUUCACAAUGUUGGUACAAACUAGAGCAAUAAGUGGACUUUCCACUGCCUGCAGGGCCAAUUACAAGUUGUGCAUAGCCCAUU
rnacentral:misc_RNA from 1 species